AUACACAUCCUUUUCUCUUCGAUCUCUCUCAAUUCACAAGAAGCAAAAUGACGGAUACAGCUAGAACCCAUCACGAUAUCACAAGUCGAGAUCAGUAUCCCCGAGACCGAGACCAGUAUUCUAUGAUCGGUCGAGACCGAGACAAGUAUUCCAUGAUUGGCCGAGACCGAGACCAGUACAACAUGUAUGGUCGAGACUACUCCAAGUCUAGACAGAUUGCUAAGGCUGUUACCGCAGUCACGGCCGGUGGGUCCCUUCUUGUCCUCUCCAGUCUCACCCUUGUCGGAACUGUCAUUGCUCUGACUGUUGCGACUCCUCUGCUUGUUAUCUUUAGUCCAAUCCUUGUCCCUGCUCUCAUCACCGUUGCAUUGCUCAUCACCGGCUUUCUCUCCUCUGGUGGCUUUGGCAUUGCAGCUAUAACCGUCUUCUCUUGGAUCUACAAGUAAGUGGACAUUUAAACAUAUAUUUCAAGUUGUACAAUAUGUUUUAAGAAGCGGUAAUUUAUUAAAUAAAACAUAAUGGUUGAAUAUAGCGACAUGCCUUGUGAGGGGAAAAAAAGUACAAACCAUAAAAUUAUACAUAACCGACAAGUGGAUUUUUAGAUAUUACAUUAAAAUGCCGUUUUACAUCAUCAUUUUGGCUAGCUAUACACAAGACUUGACUUAGCUAGCUUGAUACGUACGUGUAGUAUAUGAUGCAUGCACGUGUGUGUGAAUUGUGAUGAAUAGGUAUGCAACGGGAGAGCACCCACAAGGGUCAGAUAAACUGGACAGUGCAAGGAUGAAGCUGGGAGGCAAAGUUCAGGAUAUGAAGGACAGAGCUCAGUACUAUGGACAACAGCAAACAGGUGGGGAACACGACCGUGACCGUACCCGUGGAACCCAGCACACUACCUAAAUUACGCCAUGACUAUUUUCAUAGUCCAAUAAGGCUGAUGUCGGGAGUCCAGUUUAUGAGCAAUAAGGUGUUUAGAAUUUGAUCAAUGUUUAUAAUAAAAGGGGGAAGAUGAUAUCACAGUCUUUUUUUCUUUUUGGCUUUUGUUAAAUUUGUGUGUUUCUAUUUGUAAACCUUCUGUAUAUGUUGUACUUCUUUCCCUUUUUAAGUGGUAUCGUCUAUAUGGUAAAACGUUAUGUUUGGUCUUUCCUUUUCUCUGUUUAGGAUAAAAAGACUGCAUGUUUUAUCUUUAGUUAUAUUAUGUUGAGUAAAUGAACUUUCAUAGAUCUGGUUCCGUAGAGUAGACUAGCAGCCGAGCUGAGCUGAACUGAACAGCUGGCAAUGUGAACACUGGAUGCAAGAUCAGAUGUGAAGAUCUCUAAUAUGGUGGUGGGAUUGAACAUAUCGUGUCUAUAUUUUUGUUGGCAUUAAGCUCUUAACAUAGAUAUAACUGAUGCAGUCAUUGGUUCAUACACAUAUAUAGUAAGGAAUUACAAUGGCAACCCAAACUUCAAAAACAGUAGGCCACCUGAAUUGCCUUAUCGAAUAAGAGUUUGUUUCCCCCCACUUCAUGGGAUGUAAUACAUGGGAUUUGGGAGUUUGAAUGAACGUUGAGACAUGGCAGAACCCAACAAAUCACUCCAUUGAUCACCUGAAUUGCCUCUGAUCCUAUACCCUUCUUUCACCAUCUCAUCCCUCUUCUCUGACUUGAAUAUGGUCGCCGUUUUGUGGUCAUCAUCCAACGACCUGGUUGCAUACAUCACCAAAUAAAAGCGUUAAGCAUCCAAAUCCAAUGCUAAAUAAUAAUGACGAGAGCAACAUUGUAUUAGAGGAAAAUACAUUGACUCAAGAAAGCUGCCUACCUCAGAAUAAGCUCGUCCCAGUUAUUGAAGCCGGCAUUGAUCAGGUUCUCGAUCGUGAUAACCCUGUGGUUCUCUCUUCGCCCUGUAAGCAGGAUGACUUUGUACCCCAAAUCUUUAACCUUCUCAUAAAGCUUCAAGCUUGGUGCUAUUGCAGGUGCAGCUCCUUUCUCCACCCACUUAUCAAACUUCGUAUGAUCAAAAACUUCCAACCUUCAAAAUUUCCAAAAACAGACAUAGAUUCAUAUCUGAAACAUUUACGGUUAUAUCAUAGAUCCUGUCCUGAAGUUUCCAGACAAGCAAACAAAGUAUAUGACAAAAAAAUACAAUUUUUUUAUUGUAAAGGAAGAAACUUUCAGACAAAACAUUUUACCCACAACCGUGUUCCAAAUAAUAAGGAAGAUUCGACAAGAGAGUCUCGUCAAUAUCGAAGAUCCAAGUAUCCCUCCCAUCGUCCCCGCUAAACCCAAAGCUGCUCGCGUACACGUUAGCCUCUUCCGAGACCCUCUCCAAAUCGACGACGUAGCCUCUACCCAUCAGGUAAUCUUUCACGUAGCCGGCGCAUUCCGCCGGAAUCGUCUUCCACGGCGCGAGAUUGUUCGUCUCCGCCGCGAAUCUCCAGCUCGUGCAAUUCACAUUGACGUUAUCGUCGUCGACGGCGCUCUUGAGCUCGUGUGUGUCGAAGAUCAACGGUCGCGGAAGGACGUACGAGGUGGCGUUUUCGUUUGAAAACGCGAGAGAGAACAAGGACAAGACAAGAAGAAGACUCACAAGCAUCCGCAUCGUGUAAUGCCGGAAACAAAAAGAUGUGAUUUUGAUCAAAUGGGUAUCAAGAAUAUUCAAAAGGGUCUUCAAGAAUCUGAUAAAGUUCCACGAUGGUGAAAGGAAUCAGGACUUAAAGCGAAAUCAGAAGAAAAAUGGAGAGGAGAAGAGUUUCAUUUUCCCAAUCAAGAAGAUAGAAUGGAAUAAAGAAACCCUAGAAACAGCGCGUAGGUACAGAGCUUUUGGAGUCUUGUUUUUUUUUUUGUUGUCAAUGGAGGAGGAAUCUGAGACAGAAAGCUACUGUUUCUUUUUGGGUAAUGAAGACGACAAGAUCCUUUGUUCUCUGUAAUGGCCAUAAAUAAAUAUAGAUAACAAAAAAAAAGGCGUGUGGUUUCGGUUUUUAAUCUGUGACAAUUAAUUAUAAGUUCGGUUUAUCUUUAGAAUCACAAAACAAAAGUUCGCUUCGAAAGAACGGAACAGGAAGAAUACACAGUGGGACGUCUUGCCUUUUAUACACCCAAAAAACGCUACACAGUUUUGGUUUUACUUUAGUCUAGACCUCCACUCCAUGAUGGCUGUGUAAAGAGUAUAGUUGGGCAGAAGGUUCUUGCUAAGUAACGGUGAAUCAGUCAUCGGCGAUGUGUUGUGCUCCUCAAACCACUCCUCUAUCGCACGACGGUCAUAUGUGUAUCCAUCAGCCGCAACGCAUGGCUCGUUCAUUACGUCCUGCAUUGAAUAAACAAGCUCUCACAUUUUAGUAUUCUCAUCUAACCAGUUACUUGACUUGCAAGUAACCAAUGACAUAAAGAACAAGGUUUAUAUAAGAGCUACCUUAAGUAAGGGGCAGAGGAAAUGAAACGGAGGUUGAGUCGGCACACUGGAAAUCGAAUUCCUUGCCUUCUCAGCUACUUUCUUCAGGCUUUCGAGCGCCGGAAGAAUCUGAUCUCUUAAGUCAAGCCUAUCUUUCCCACGUAGGCUCUCAAGCGCCGGAAGAAUCUGAUCUCUUAAGUCAGGCCUAUCUUUCCCACGCAGCUCUGUGCAACAUAGAGCCAAUGAGGUCAGUUCCCUGGUCUCUUCAACUGGCCAGUUACCUGCUUUCUGAUCCAAGAUCUUGAGAAACUCAUCGUUACUAUCCAUUGCACUCUCAACUAAGUGUGUCAAUGCCAUAGGUGGUUUUGCUGUGAGGAGCUGAAGAACUAUCAUUCCAAAUGAAUACACAUCUGAUUUAGAUGAUAUCAUUCCCGUGCGUUGAUACUCUGGAUCCAUGUAACUCAACGUUCCGACAGGGCUUGUUUGUUUGUAAAUAGUGAAUUUAGUUGAUAGAGGGUCGACUUGAACCAUCGUUGAGAGUCCAACGUCUCCGACUUUGCUGACAAAGUUGUGAUCAAGCAAGAUGUUUGCCGGUUUUAGAUCACGGUGAAUGAUCGGUUUAGGUUUCGAUUUGUGGAGGAAGACAAGAGCUGCAGCUACUUCCCAUGCGAUCCUAACCCGCUCAAACCACGGGAGUGGUGGACUGUUGUUGACUUGGAAUAGUCUGUCCUCCAAGCUACCGUUUUCCAUGUACUCAUAAACUAAAGCUCCUUGCUCAGGGCAUGCUCCCAGAAGGAGUACCAAGUGAGGGUGCCGAAUCUUACUCAAGAUUUCGAGCUGCAAAGUAAAAUGAAGCUUCUUAAAAAAAAGAAGUUCCGAAACCGAACCAAAAUUUCAAGCCUAGUUAACCACAUAUAUAGGCGAAUUCCGGUGAGUUAAGCAACCCGGAUUCAAAAUAACCCCACGCACUAAAUAGCCACGCAGAUAUAAGGCCAUUCUUUAGGCUUCAUUUGAAUAUCCGGAGAGAGGGUCUAUCCCUAAACUACAUCUCCUCUUGGAUAACUAGUCCAGACCUUCAAUAGGCCCGGGAUACUCAUAGAUUAAUAAAAAAUAAGUGUUCAAGUCUAGUCCAUACCUCUUGUUGGAACUGUUUGGAGAGACCAUUUUCAGCGGAGUGCAGAACUUUGACAGCUGCGGUUGUAUGAUGCAUAUUACACUUGUAAACAGAUCCAUAAGCUCCCAUUCCAAUCUUCAACUCUUCUGAGAACGAUGAAGUGGCAGCUACAAUUUCUUCCCAAGUGAAGUGCUGAUACUGAAGCCGCGGAGAGCCAAGAGUGUCUUCAAGCUUCUCUUUCUCUUUAGCAUCACGAGCAGCUUUCCUCUCAGCUUCUCUUCUCUGAGCAAUCUCUCUCUCUGCUCUUUCUCUCAUGUUCUCUGCAUCUCUCUUCGCCUUUUCAAAGUUCUGCUUCUCCUUUUCUGCUAAUUCUCGAGCUUCAUACUCCUUUAGCUUUAGCUCUUCAAGCUUUAUGGCUUCUUCUAACCGACGUUGGUUAAGCUCACCAAGCUGAAACGUUGUCAAGAUGCAUUGAAAAAACAAACUAAUAGGUUCAUUGCCAAGUUAUAUAAGACUAUGCGGCCUUUACCUUUCGAGAAGCAUCAAAGGUUUCGGUUUGGGCAGCAGUAUACAUUUCUUGAACAUGUCUAAGCUCAGCUCUCAACUUCUCAACCUCAAAGCUUAGGUUUACCUAAACAAACAACCUUACACUAUUAUUUCAUUUACAAGAAAAUACAAUUUAAAACUCCAUUUUAGUAUACCUGGUUAUCUGUAUAAGAAUGUUCACUUAGAUUAUCAGACAUGUUGGAAGCUUGUUGAGAAGCCCUAGAGUGAGUGGUAUCAAUCACCAUGCCUGUCCAACUAAAUUUACCACCCGCAUUCGCAUAUUCACGGUUGCUAGAUGAAGAACUCAUAGCGUCUUUUCUCUCCUCAUAAUCUCUAAGCCGUGGAGUCCAACGUGAUGUAGUAUCUGUGCUGCUUCUAUUGAUACUCGAAACAUCUUUAGCUUCCUCUGCAUCCAUAGACAUGCACCUGGUGUCAUCCGAGCCAACAGAACUCGUGUCCAUUGGAACUGAUGCUUGUCUACCAAUUGCCGGGACAUGUUGAAAUCUCCUGACCGGAAGGGACAGAGCACGAGAUUGAGAUUGAGAGUCAAGUGCGCUUGAAACUCCAUCUGUUGAUUCUAGAAGAGAAAUGAGGUAUAAAAGUUAGACCUACCCACUAUGUAUGGUAGCAUAUUUAUACAAAAUAGCAAUGUUCAAGAAAUCGCUAGCUAGACGGUAGCUAAGCGUUUUAUAGAAAAUUACUGUUUAGGGAGAUGUCUAGACCGAUUUUUUGAAUGCUUAGAUCGAUUUUUUUAUAAGAUCGUUUCAUUCAGCAACUAGGUGCGGCUUAAACCGAUUUUUAGAACAGUGCAAAAUACAUUGAUGAGUCAUGUACCUGAGUUGGGACCAGAAGAACCACUGGAGGAAUCAGUUCUUUCACUACCAUCAUCUCUUAUAGUUGCAUUGCCGUCUGAGUCUGAUGGCCGGACGCAUGACAAUUUUCCUUUUGAAACAACAUAGACUGUACAAAAGUUCGGCACCAAAGCUGAUAUCGCCGAGCACAUAUCAGCUUUCCUGAAUUUUUCAAAGCAGAUUCAUUGGGACAAGAAACCAAAACAAUAAAAGGUUCAAGGCUAGCAGCUCAUCUGUGUGUAGUGUACCUUGAGAAAAAGCUACGGGAUGAGCCUCCAAUGACAAGUCUCUCUAUUGAAUUCCGAGAAACCACUUCAGCUAUAGCGGCUGCCACAUUAUCUGACUCGAUCACAUGAACUUCUACAGCAACCUUUCUCCGCUCGAACAUUUUCUUAUAAGGUUUAAGAACUUCUUCAGCCUGCCACAGCACUUCCUGUCUAUAUGCAGCUACUACAUCAUCUCGAACCUCGGAUAUAGGGAUUGUAUUUCCCACUUGAGAAUAAGCAACAAAGGAACAUCAGAGUUUUGUCAGUUACAAUAGUCUUUAAGUUUCACAAAUAAACAGAAACAUGAGUCUUAGUUGGAGCUUUACUUGGUGUAGGUACAGAAGUAAUCCUUGGAUGGAUGUGAAGUAGCUUGAAGCCAACAUUGGCUUCAGGAGCAAAUUUUUCAAGCGCCCAUGUAACAACAUUUUUGUUUUUCCUGCUCUCACUAAGAGCCACGAAGACGGUAUGAGAUGGAGGAGGAAAAGUUGGAGGAGGAGGAGGAAGGGCAAGAGUGUCUGGUGAUCUACUCAUAGUCUUUCUUGUUUUCUUCGUUUUGCUUUUACCCUACACACUCAAACCAUUUCAGACACAGCAAAACAAUGUCUUUAAAAGAGAACUUCUUCCUAAAAGUAGAGACAAAACAAGAAACAAAUAGACAUGGCCAGCCCUAAGAUUUAAGGUUCUAUAGGAAUUUUUUAAAAGAUUUCAACUAAAACAAUUUUCGUUAUAAACUUGGAGGCCUAAAAUAUUUUUUCUUAGCACAAUGCUAUUAACCAAGUCGAUCUUCAAGGUAAUAGAUUUGAACCCUUAAUAGUAACUAAAGUGUAAAGCAAGUAACCCAGAAUUUGAAUCUACCUGGUAGGAAGAGACUUAAGUCAAACCCAAGACAGAACAGGAGAGAAGAGGAACGUUAUGCUUCUAUUUCAGAAAAGCAUUUAAUGACAGAAAGAGCAGCCGAAGAAGAAGAAGACCCACGUUCGUGCUGCUAAUCUCAGAUACAAUCAAUGGCUUCUUAUAAUCACAGAAUCUUAUGAAGAUAUCAAAAUUUAUUCGCAAUCAUUUUAGGAUAAAUAAAUUAAAACAAUCAAUCUUAUCUAUCGUAUAUGAUGUAUAAUUAAAUUCUAAGAAAAUGAGACAACUUGCUCGUGUUAUUAUAUCGUCAAAGGAUCACUCCUGGUAUAUACUCUUUUGGUUCUCGACAGAAUUUUCAUUCAUUAUCGUAGUGACAGAAGGGAGUGUGUAAUGAAAGAAUGAAGUAUUCUCUAUUGUUAUUAUUUUAAUCAUGUUUAUCUCCUAACUCCUAUUUAUUCGAUGAUAGUAUUAAUUAAUUAUUACAUUUCUCAACGCUAUUAUUAAAAAACUUACGUUUGCUCUUAGUUGCAGGCAUGACCUUUGCUUUCCUCACGUCUAUAUGUCUCCCCUUUAUAAAAAAUUUAUGUUAUCAGUUUUUUUGUCAACUAUAUUAUCAAUCUUAUAUAAUACAGUAAGAUUUUAGAUUUACGAUUUUGAGUGUUAAUAUUAUUACUAGGAUAAGACAUGCGCCUUGUGCAUGAUAAAUUUAUAUGAAAAUUAUUUAAGAAAUAUCGUAUAGAAAAUAAAAUUUAUAUUAUUGAUCGAAUUAAUAUUUUGGCUCUUAAACAAUUUUUUAAAAACUUUUUUUGCUAAUUACAUAAUUUAUUUACUAAUGAACGGAUCCAAUUUUUAAAAUAUUUUAGGUCAAAAAAUUAUUUAUCGCAUAAAAACCUAACGUUUAGGCCGAAGAAUUUCAUGUCUACUAUUUGGUUACAACGAAACUACGACAGCUCGGUUUUAUAUCAUGAUUUAGCAAUUUAAAAAUUAAUUAUGGUUAUGAUAAGUUUAUGUUCACGUGCCAAUCCGAUCUAUCUUCGAUAUUUUUUUUUGUGUCAUUUUGGUUAUAAAUAUUAAUUUUUAAGUUUAUUCUCAUUUCUUUAUUUUAUUUUGGCUUGAGAUUUAAAAAAUAUUUAAGAUUCAAAAUUAUUAAAGAGAUAUAUACUUAGGUUAUGAUUUGCGUCUUGUGCAGAAUAAAUAUUUUAUAUUUAUUACUUAUUUUAUAUUUUUCUGCAUAUUAUGAAAUAAUAAAAUAAUAAUUAUAUAUUAAAUAACUAAGAAAUCGGUACUAUUAUGUAAUAAAUUGGCUUACACAUAUAAAUCAAAUGACCGCUCUUUUUAUUCGCAAUCAUUUUAGGAUAAAUAAAUUAAAACAAUCAAUCUUAUCUAUCGUAUAUGAUGUAUAAUUAAAUUUAAAUGAUAUGAAGUAUAUAUAUAUAUAUUAACAUAAACACCUAUUAAAAUAAAAUUAUUUAUUUAUAUGAUUUUAUUAUCAUUGUAUCUUAUUAUAGAAAAAAAUUUAAACAUUGAUCACAAAAGUUUAUGUAAGACUUUUAAAAGUUAUAGUAAUUUAUACUUGUUUUAAAAAAUUCAAAAUACAACAUAUACAAAAAAAUAUAAAUUUUUAAUAUAUGAUUAAUGUAAUUGUGUAAUUUAUUUUAAUAAUUAAGAAUUAAACAAAAAUGAUAAAAAAAAAUUACAGAUUAUUAGCAAAUCUUCAUUAUUUAAAAUCAUUAAUUACUAUAUAUAUAUAUCAUAAGCACAUUAGGUAAUUUCGUAGGUUUUAUUUAAGAAAAUAAUAUAUAAUAAAUUUCAAUUUGAUAAAUGAAUGAUCCAUAAUAGACAUACUAUAUAAUAUAAAAUUUCAUAGUAAUUUAAUUUUGGACUAACAAAAUUAAAUUGAUUUUUAAGUCGCCAUGUUAAAAAAUUAACAUUCCAAUUAAGUGACAACUUAGCAUGACAUUUUUUUAAUUAGUACAAACUACAUGUUCUACACUUUUUAAAUGUUUCUCUAUUAAUAUAUAGAGAAUGUUAAACCAUUGAUCAUUAAUUUUUAACAUAAUAAUCUUAACAGUUUAGUAAUUUUGUCAUUUUUUUAAAAUUCAAAAUAUAACAUAUACGAAAAAAUCUAUAUUUUAAUUAUAUGGUUAAUUUGAUUGUUUAAUUUAUUUUAAUAAUAUAAAAUUAAACAAAAACGAUGAAUGAGAUAAAUUGUUAUCAAAUCUUUAUUAUUAGAAUCAUUAAUUGUCAUAUAUAUUAGUGAUAUUUGGUAAUUCCGUAGUUUUUAUUUAAGGAAAAGAAAGAAAAGAGUAAUUAUAUACUUUAAUUAAUUUUAUGAUUAGUUUAAUGAAAAGUAUAAUAUAUACUUAAUUGGACCAACAUAUUUUUUAAAGAUUCUGAAUUUCAUUCUGGUGAAAAUACGUGGUUACAUUUAAAAAUUGUAAUGUUUUUCAAUUAAUAUAUAAGGGAUAACUUAGGUAGAAAAAUAAGGAACUGUGUUUAAUGUGGCACACCUCGCUGUGGUGCGGCCAUAGUGGUACCAAAAUAAAUAAAUAAGGGUAUGUAACUUUCUGUUCUAAAUUGUCAACCUUUUUAACUGGUCGUUUGUUUUACUGCAACAAGAUUUUAUAAUGUUUGCAUCAUUGCAUGUGUUUUGAACAAAUGUCUUUAUCGAAGUUAUAAAAUCCAUCUUCUUGCUUUGGACUUUGGAAACAAGUAAAUCUAGUGAAAGACAACAACAAAAAUUUCCAGUUUCGUUGAUAAGAACAUCUCCAUUGGAAAUAUCUCAAAAUAAGGUUUUCAAUCAAAUUCAAGUAUAUGUAUAUAAAUAUUAAAUUAAAACAUAAAUAUCUCAAAAUCAACCAAAAAGUUUUUCUAUAAAAAAAUUUGGGUUGGAUUUUCCAUAAUUUUAAGAUAUUUAUAUAAUAUUUAUAUUACAUCAAAAUUUGAAAACAUUUUAUGAGAUCCUCAAUAAAGUUGCUCUAAAAGUAUUUUAUUUUGUAGUUUUGCAAAAUGUUUGUUAGUGGUUUAGAAUUUUUAGUUUAGAGUUCUGAACGCUCAAUCUAACCUAUACUAAAAGCAGGAUAUCAAGCCCUCUAAGCGUGUCCACGUCGGAUUAAAAAUUUGGACCAAUCAGAGAGCUUAUAAUUGCCAUGUCACCAUCGCUGAGUUAGACGGACUUUCAUUCGGCCCAUCCACUCACCCAAACUCUGCUCAUUUCAAGCCUUUCGAGUCUCUUCAUCUACGCCGAUCUCUGAGUUUUCUUUGCGUUAUCUUCUAAAUCAAUAAUGAUCUUAAAACUCAUCUUGAAUAUGUUUCGUUCCACCCCCCGAAAAAACAAACUAAUAGGUUAAUUGCCAAGUUAUAUAAGAAAUUAAUUAUUAUUUUCUUUGUUUUGUUUACUCUAUAAAUUUUCCACUCAUUUUCUCUACUUUAAUUUCUUCUCAUUUACUUCAACACCUACCAAUCACACUCUAGAAAAAAUAAUAAGGAAUAAUCACAUUUGUUAGCUAAAUUAGGUAUUUCAAGGAACACCUUGUUUUCGGAAAUUUUCUAGCUCAGCUUUAAGUCUUCAUACACACUGUCCGUUUUUUCAUAGUGACGCCUCUGUAUUUGAGUCCAAAGACUCGAGGCAUCAUUUUUUGUGAGAGGGAAAAAACAAAGAGAUUCAUCAAUGGUUAAUUUGAUCCCGUAUACGACUAGUUUCUAGUGCAUCCAUCUGCAAAACCACACAAGUCUUCAUAGUCUUCUCAAUCCUUACUUGGUUUCUCAGUAGAUCCAUCUAUAAAACCAAAUUUCUUGUGUGCUUUCACGACCAUAUGUAUGCUUGCGUACCAUUCAUCGUAAAUGGGUCCCAUGCAAAACUGGUCGUGAGAUCACUGUUCCAGGAUCGUCACAUGCAAUUAACACUACAAGAAAACACGGAUUUUGUGACUGAUUUUCCCGACUGAUGCUGUAGUCGCUUAUUUUACCAAUUGUUUACCAACUUAUUAACGAACCAGAAAUUUCAGUAGCAAAAUAGUCGCUAAAUAACGACAAAGGAAAUAGUCGCCUUUUAGUCGUAAAUUAACGACUAAAGAGCGACUAAUAUGUAUUCGUUAAAUAGCAGUCGGUAAUCAGUCGGCAAAUUAGCGACUAAUUACCUACUGAAUUAUUUUGGAGCUUAACAUUCACCUUUCAGUCGCUAAUACAGUGACUGAUUACCGACUGAAUAUAUCAGUCGCACUAUCAGUCGGAAAUUAGUAGGAAAACAGUCCGUAAAUAUUAUCCUAAACCUAAAUCUGAUAACCUAAACCCUACAUGUUUUAAACCCUAAACUUUAAAUAUAAACCUUAAAACUCUAAGCAUUUCAACACAAUAAAUCUUAAUCUAAACCCUAAAUGCCAUUUCUUAAAACCCUAUAUCAUAAAUACAAACUCCAAUUAUAUUAUUUAAAAAAUUAAAUACUAAACUUUAAAUCUAAAUCUCAAACAAAAUGUUUUCAAGUUUUAGAUAAGAACUAACGUAGUGGUCAGUACUCCACUAUGGUCAAGCUCUCCACUACGCCCUCGGUCAAGCUCGUUGCUACACCCCAGGUUAAGCUCGUCUACUCCGCCUGCUUUUUCAUCACUUGUCUCGGCUUUUGUCUCAAGGUGCAUAUUCUCGUCACCGGAGAUUAUGAAGCUGAAGAUUACAAGAAGAUUAUUGGAGCUUGGUGUAUUGCGGCGGAGAAAACAAUACAACUAGGUUUAGAUUUACUUUUUGUAAUUAGGUUUAAACUAAUCAACCGGUUUUGAUUUAAACUGGUAUUCUCUUGUUAACCAAAUUUCUUAUUUAUCUGAUUGUACCUGGUUAAAACCACUAACCAUUCCCAAUAUGGGAAAAAAUUAAUAAUUAUAAUUUGUUUUUAAAAAGUUGAUAAUAAUUUUUUUUUUUUUUUUUGCAUUUAGUUGUAAAAACAUUUGUAAAAUCAGUCACUAAUUAGUAGCAAUUCAGUAGCAAAAUUUUGCGACUACGUAGCUACCGAUUUACGACUAGUGGUAUCAGUUGGAAAUCAUACGCAAAUUUGAGACUGAUUUGCGACUGUUUUAUUUAGCGACAAGCUCUAUUACGACCACUGAAAUCAGUUGCUAAACAGUCACUAUUUUCAGUUUAGCGACUGUUAUCCUACCAAAUUUGCUGUCGGGUAAUCCAUUUUUUUGUAGUGUAAAUCAUAAGGAAGUAUUGUUCUCCUUGUUACUUCAACAAGAGAUUUUUACUGUGCUAGAUCCGAAGAUUUGGUAUGUGAAUCAAUGUACAUCAUAAGAAAGAAGAAGACGAUGAAAUAAUCGAGAUCUUGAGGUAAAAAAUAAGAAACAUAGUCUUGGAUCGAAAAACAUGAUAACUUAGGUCAAAGAACAGAUAGUAGUUGUAAAGAGAAAUCUUAUUGAUAUCAAUUGAAGGUUGUUCUUUAUAUUCAAGAGAGCCGCAAUACAACGGUUAAUCUAAAUACCGAACAUAAGUCCUAGGCCCAAUACAUAUCUAUCUUACCACUACAAAGUUACAUGACCGGCUAGAUAUUUCUUGUCUAUAGUAAUAUUCUCCAAUCAACUCAAAUUCCAUCCAAACAAACUCAAAUACCAUAUAAGGCCAACUUUAAAGAAAAGAAACAUAGAUGAGUUUCUUACAAAAAUAUAGUACUAUUUUAAUUUGUUGAUGAUUUAAAUCAGUUGAAUCAUUUUAAUGAUGACAUAUUUGUUAUCUAAGUUUCUAAAAAUUGAUGUAGGUUUUUCAGACUAGAAUCGUCUCUCGAAUAUCUCUUCUUUUUAUGUGUUCUUGUUCAUUUUUUCCUAUAUGUUAUAUUUUGAAUUUUUAAAAACGAAUAUAAAUGAAUAAAGUUGUUAAAAAUCUCACAUUGUAAUUUUUGUGAUCCAUGGGUUAAAAUUUAUGUUAUAACAAUAUACAAAUGAUUACAAAAUAAAAUAAGUAGAAAAUGUCAUUUAAUAAAUAUUAUAUAUAUGUAUAUUAAUAUUUUUUAUAAAUAAAUUAUAUACCAUAUAAAAUACAUAAGUAUUUUAAUUUCGAAUUUGCAUUGAUUUUUUUUAUAAACAUUUUGAAAAAUUAUUAAGAACUUAAUAUUAAGAUUUUAAACUUUGCAUUGAAUGUUUUUAAAAUUAUAAAUUACUAAAACUAUUAAACAUCCCACUAAUUUUUUAUUUUUAUCGUGGAUUUAAAAAAUUUGUUAUAAAUAAAUACAAAUGAUCAAAAAUAAUAUGAGUAUAAAAUAUUUUUUAACAGAUGUCAAUAUUAAAAAUGUACUAUAUAUCUAUGUUAAUAUCAUUUGAACUAAAUUUUAUACCAUAAAAAAAUAGAAAAAAGUGUUUGUCUGGAUUAAUAAAAUUUAUUUAAGUAUUUAUACCAAUUUAAUUAUAUACGUAAUAGUUACUAAAUUUUUAAUUAUUCAAUAUACAUUUAUUAUUUCAUAAUAUGUAAAAAAUAUAUAAUACUUAAAAAUAAUUUAUAUAUAAUAUUCAUUCCGCGUAAGGCGCGGGUCUUAACUUGAUAUGGAGAAACAAACUAAAUUUUCAUAUAUCAUCGCUCUACUUGGGAUCUAACUAAAACUCUCAAAAAUACUCAAAAAAUAAUAAAUUACGUUCGUGUAACCAUCAUGUACUAUAAAAACAUAUUGUACGUUUUCUACAAGUCUACUUCCUAAAUUUUUGGUAUUCGGAUAACAGAAUUUCUUUACAACAAAACUUCAUCACCA
rnacentral:lncRNA from 1 species